GCCUGUCUAGGUCUCUUUGAAUGGGUGCAGUUGACGCACCAGAUGGACGGUCUGGUGGACCGUCCCUACAGCUUGGUGUCAUUGACAAACAUGCUGAGGGUGCACUUGACCCCACUGUUGAUGUCACUGAUGAAGAUAUUAUAGAGUAUUGGCCCCAGCACUGACCCCUGAGGGACACCACUCGUCACUGAUCUCCAUCCAGAAAAGAAGCCAUUGACCACCACUCUCUGAACUUGAUCCUGUAGGCAGUUCUUCAUCCAUCAAACAGUGUACCCACCAAAUCCAUAUCUUUCCAAUUUGGAGAGAAGGAUAUUGUGGGCUAUCAUGUCAAAGGCCUUACUGAAGUCCAGAUAGAUGACAUCAGAGUCUCUUCCCUUGUCCAUUGAUGCAGUGACACCAUCAUAGAAGGCCACUAGUUUGGUCAAGCAGGAUUUACCCUUGGUGAAGCCAUGAUGGUUCUCCCAUAUACCAACAUUUUCAGGGAAAAAAAGUGCUGUACCUGAAUGCCAUCUUAAUGCAUAACAAGACAGCUAAUAUUGCUAUGAUAUCCUUUUUUUUUUUUUUUUCUUUCUUUCUUUCUUUCUUUCUUUUUUUCCCAGAAUUCAACUAAUACAUAUUCUGUUGCUUGUUCUGAUUUAUAUAUACUGGUUCUCGAAGCAUAACUCCUUUUCCUACUUUAAUCCUUUUCCACAUUCUAUCUGCAUGCAUUAAUAAUUUUCCAAGGCAUUACUAUUCCUAUUAUUUUACCAAAUAAAUCUUUUCAUUCCUCAUGUUUGUAUCUCAAACCUAAGUCCUAACAGAUAUUUCUCUUCCCACCAUUGUCCUUGCUACUGAGGAUGUGAUAAAUGAGUCAGUCGUAUCAAACAAUAAUAUUUUAAACAAAUCCCAAGAAUUCAACAUAUAAACUUUUAAAAUAAAUAGCAAAAGAAAAUAUGAAUUAUUAUGAAUAAAUAAUGAAAUGAAAUCACGCCAUAUGUCUUUUAAAGAAAUGGGGUAAAAUUUUCUCAGUUUUUCAAAGCUAUUAAGCACAUGCAUAUCCCAAUUAAAUGUAAAAUCCUUAAACUUGUAACUCCAGAUCCACAUUUACAAGUUCCAAUUACAUGGACUUGCAUUUAAGCGGGGUGCUUCAGCUCUGGAUUAGAAUAUCCUGGGUCAUUUUUCAAGGUACUUUGCACUAAGUUUGUAUGGACUAAGAUAGCAGAUAAAAUUGCAGAAUUCUUCCAUUUUUCCAAAAGAAACAUUUCUUUUCAAGGUGAAAGACUGUAAAUGUGUACAUAAAUUAAAACAGCAGUCCCUUUCUUAAGAGCUUACUUUUAGCAAGCAGCGUAUCCUGGUUAGAAUCAUAGAAUCAUAGAAUAGCCUGUGUUGAAAAGGACCACAAUGAUCAUUGAGUUUUAACCCCUGUGCUACAUACAGGGUUGCCAACCACUAGACCAGGCUGCCCAGAGCCACAUCCAGCCUGGCCUUGAAUGCAUCCAGGGUUGGGGCAUCCACAAGCUCCUUGGACAACCUGCUCCAGUGUGUUACCACUCUCUGUAAGAUAAACUGAUGCACUUGAAGAAGAAGACGUGUCUAUGUCACGUGCCAUAGACCAGUAACUUUUAUGAGAAGUCUCCUCAGUAUUUCUCUGCCCUUUCUGACAAAUCAUUCAGACAUUUUUACUCCCUGGGCCACCUAAUACUCGACUUCUUGGCUAAUAUAAAGAGCUUAGUAGCAAGUAGAUGCCAAACAUGUAUGUUGUCUCUGUGAAACUUCUUGUGAGAGUGUAUAACUUAAACCAAAUCUUAUGAUUCAAGUCUAUAUAAUUUUCUCUGUAACUGUAAUCAAGUUGUUCAUGUGAAAAUUGACUACAUUUUUAAUAAAUUAAUUUACAUACUUAUGAUUGUUAUAC
ensembl:lncRNA